GAUGAACGCUAGCGGCAGGCUUAACACAUGCAAGUCGAGGGGUAUGCUUUUCGGAAGCAGAGACCGGCGCACGGGUGCGUAACGCGUAUGCAAUCUACCUUUUACAGAGGGAUAGCCCAGAGAAAUUUGGAUUAAUACCUCAUAGUAUUAUAGAAUGGCAUCAUUUUAUAAUUAAAGUCACAACGGUAAAAGAUGAGCAUGCGUCCCAUUAGCUAGUUGGUAAGGAACGG
rnacentral:rRNA from 1 species